rnacentral:sRNA from 1 species
UACAUGAGACACCUGGAGGGAUGUCCCUCU